rnacentral:tRNA from 1 species
GUGAGUUUAGUUUAAUCAAAAACACUUGAUCUGCAAUCAAAAUAUCUAGGUUUAAAUCCUAGAACCCACA